CCUCCUUCAAAUUUUUCUUCAUAACCCACCAAAAGACCACCAUGAUUUGAGGAUGGGUAAUCUCUACCAGAGUGCAGGUGUGUCAUUACAAAUGACUGAGCCACUGAUUAACUCACCUGGAUGAAACUAGUUAACACAUGAAAUUCUAGUAUUUUGGUAGGUCAUGGGGACAAACUUGAAUAAGCCAAGGAGCUUUUUCAUACUUCUGAAAUAUGUACC